rnacentral:rRNA from 1 species
UACGUAGGUGGCAAGCGUUGUCCGGAAUUACUGGGUGUAAAGCGCGUGUAGGCGGGAGGCCAAGUCUGCUGUGAAAUCGCUCGGCUCAACUGGGCGGGGUCGGUGGAAACUGGUCACCUGGAGGACGGUAGAGGCGAGUGGAAUUCCCCGGUGUAGUGGUGAAAUGCGUAGAGAUCGGGAGGAACACCAGUGGCGAAGGCGGCUCGCUGGGCCGGUCCUGACACUGAGGCACGAAGGCCAGGGGAGCAAACGGG